AUUUUUACAAUGAAGAGUUUGAUCCUGGCUCAGGAUGAACGCUAGCUACAGGCUUAACACAUGCAAGUCGAGGGGCAGCAUGGUCUUAGCUUGCUAAGGCCGAUGGCGACCGGCGCACGGGUGAGUAACGCGUAUCCAACCUGCCUUACACUCUUGGACAGCCUUCUGAAAGGGAGAUUAAUACAAGAUGUUAUCAUGAGUAAGCAUUUUCGCAUGAUUAAAGGUUUACCGGUGUAAGAUGGGGAUGCGUUCCAUUAGAUAGUAGGCGGGGUAACGGCCCACCUAGUCUUCGAUGGAUAGGGGUUCUGAGAGGAAGGUCCCCCACAUUGGAACUGAGACACGGUCCAAACUCCUACGGGAGGCAGCAGUGAGGAAUAUUGGUCAAUGGACGAGAGUCUGAACCAGCCAAGUAGCGUGAAGGAUGAAGGUUCUAUGGAUUGUAAACUUCUUUUAUACGGGAAUAAACGAAUUCACGUGUGGAUUUUUGCAUGUACCGUAUGAAUAAGGAUCGGCUAACUCCGUGCCAGCAGCCGCGGUAAUACGGAGGAUCCGAGCGUUAUCCGGAUUUAUUGGGUUUAAAGGGAGCGUAGAUGGGUUGUUAAGUCAGUUGUGAAAGUUUGCGGCUCAACCGUAAAAUUGCAAUUGAUACUGGCAGUCUUGAGUACAGUUGAGGUAGGCGGAAUUCGUGGUGUAGCGGUGAAAUGCUUAGAUAUCACGAAGAACUCCGAUUGCGAAGGCAGCUUACUAACCUGUAACUGACAUUGAUGCUCGAAAGUGUGGGUAUCAAACAGGAUUAGAUACCCUGGUAGUCCACACGGUAAACGAUGAAUACUCGCUGUAGGCGAUAUACAGUCUGCGGCCAAGCGAAAGCAUUAAGUAUUCCACCUGGGGAGUACGCCGGCAACGGUGAAACUCAAAGGAAUUGACGGGGGCCCGCACAAGCGGAGGAACAUGUGGUUUAAUUCGAUGAUACGCGAGGAACCUUACCCGGGCUUAAAUUGCAACCGAAUAUGGCGGAAACGCUAUAGCUAGCAAUAGCGGUUGUGAAGGUGCUGCAUGGUUGUCGUCAGCUCGUGCCGUGAGGUGUCGGCUUAAGUGCCAUAACGAGCGCAACCCUUGCCGAUAGUUACUAACAGGUCAUGCUGAGGACUCUGUCGGGACUGCCAUCGUAAGAUGUGAGGAAGGUGGGGAUGACGUCAAAUCAGCACGGCCCUUACGUCCGGGGCUACACACGUGUUACAAUGGGGGGUACAGAGGGCUGCUACCACGCAAGUGGAUGCCAAUCCCAAAAACCUCUCUCAGUUCGGAUUGAAGUCUGCAACCCGACUUCAUGAAGCUGGAUUCGCUAGUAAUCGCGCAUCAGCCACGGCGCGGUGAAUACGUUCCCGGGCCUUGUACACACCGCCCGUCAAGCCAUGGGAGCCGGGGGUACCUGAAGUGCGUAACCGCAAGGAGCGCCCUAGGGUAAAACUGGUGACUGGGGCUAAGUCGUAACAAGGUAGCCGUACCGGAAGGUGCGGCUGGAACACCUCCUUUCUGGAG
rnacentral:rRNA from 1 species